GUAAACUGCUUUUGUACACCAAGAAAACUCGCUACGUGUAGCGAUCUGACCGUGGUGUAUGAAUAAGCAUCGGCUAACUCCGUGCCAGCAGCCGCGGUAAUACGGAGGAUGCAAGCGUUAUCCGGAUUCAUUGGGUUUAAAGGGUGCGUAGGCGGCCUUUUAAGUCAGUGGUGAAAUCCUGCCGCUUAACGGUAGAAUUGCCAUUGAUACUGAAAGGCUUGAGUCCAGUUGAGGUAAGCGGAAUGUGUAGUGUAGCGGUGAAAUGCUUAGAUAUUACACAGAACACCAAUUGCGAAGGCAGCUUACUAAACUGGCACUGACGCUGAUGCGCGAAAGCGUGGGGAGCGAACAGGAUUAGAUACCCUGGUAG
rnacentral:rRNA from 1 species